rnacentral:rRNA from 1 species
AGAAUCAACGCUGGCGGCGUGCCUAACACAUGCAAGUCGCACGAGAAAGGGGACUUCGGUCCCUGAGUACAGUGGCGCACGGGUGAGUAACACGUGAAUAAUCUACCUCCGAGUGGGGAAUAACUGAGAGAAAUCUUAGCUAAUACCGCAUAACACUUACGAGUCAAAGCAGCAAUGCGCUUGGAGAGGAGUUCGCGGCAGAUUAGUUAGUUGGCGGGGUAAUGGCCCACCAAGACGAUGAUCUGUAUCCGGCCUGAGAGGGCGCACGGACACACUGGAACUGAAACACGGUCCAGACUCCUACGGGAGGCAGCAGUGGGGAAUUUUGCGCAAUGGGGGAAACCCUGACGCAGCAACGCCGCGUGGAGGAUGAAAUCCCUUGGGAUGUAAACUCCUUUCGAUCGGGAAGAUAAUGACGGUACCGAGAGAAGAAGCCCCGGCUAACUUCGUGCCAGCAGCCGC